UUCAGUGAAGGGGGGGGGGGGGGGGGGUCCCGGUCGUCCAACAGCAGUGGAUCAGAAAAGGACCACAUUGAUUUGCAUGAAGCUAAGGCCCUCAAGGCAAAAUGUAAAUCAAAACAAAAAGGUAUGAAAUCGAAAGGAACAGAGAAGUUAAAUGAUGGCCAAAAAAGGAACUACCACCAAUCUUCGUGGAUGUGACACGUGCCUCAGAAAAUACGCACAAGAGAGCAAGGCCAAAAACCCAGAACUGUUGAGGUCAACAAAAUUAAGGAAGCAUGUUGCUACCUUAUGUCAGCUUCUCGACCUGAAUAAUCAGGAACUCGAGCAAGUUGCUCGUUUUAUGGGACACGACAUUAGAGUCCAUUGUGAGUUUUAUCGGCAGACCGAUAAAACUUUCCAAGUGGCCAAGAUUGCCAAACUACUGUUUGCGAUGGAACCUGGGACAGAGUCGCUGAAGGGAACGAGUCUGCAAACCCUGGACUCUGUUAUCACUGGAAGAGCACAUGCAGCCACCUCAACCAAAGGUCUGAAAAGUGGCAAAAAGAGAAGACCAGAUCCAGGGAGACGACAGGAAGCUCAAGAUGAAUGAGAAGUGCCACAUUCAGCUGUAGCAACGAGAUCUGAUGAUGAAGAUGAUGGAGGCGGUAACAGUACCAACUUGGACACUGAAAACACAGGCACCUACAAAAGGCCACCGAAGAUGCAGUCAAUUAAAGAAAGAAAUUAUGCUGAUGACGACAUGAGUGAUGUUUCUGGCAGUGAAUAUGGCGGUAAUGUUUUUUUGUCCGACUUGAAUCCUCUUUUGCUGUAUUAUUGGCAUAUUUCUGAGAUGCAUGUGGAAAGAACUUUGAUUCUAUCAAAACAUUAUUUUAUAGAUGGAGGGGUGUGCCAUAAGACAGUUAAGAAGACUGUCAAGAAAAAAAAGACAAUGUUGGGAAGACAUGGAUUGGGUGAGUCUCUAACAUUAGCACU